CCCCACCCCAAGCCCCAACCCUCAAAAAACACCUGUUAGCCUCCCAGAUACCUUUGACCACAGACAAGCCGCAAAACACUGCUCUAUACUAUAGAAUGCCUUCAAGUGAUCCACAGCAAAGCUAAGCCGUCCAGGAACCAUCUACCCAUUCUUCCCAGGGUGGGGAUUGAGGAGCUCUCCAUCCAGGCAGUGGGGUCCUAUCUGCUGCUCUCCACCUCUCGGAAGCUCGAGAGGAAAUGGGGCUUCCCUUCGACUUCUGAGCUCAGCUGGACCCCAUCCGGGGCCCCAGGGGAUGCCUGCUCAGAGAUGGAGUGAAGAGGAAGCCGGGGGCGCAGUCACCCCAAGGAGCUGCUGCAGAGAACACCAGCUGAAAGUAAAUGUCCUUGAGGUCCCCAGCAUUCUCCUCAUCAUUAAUGCAUUCAUAGGCAUGGCCAUCCAGGCUUCAGAACCUGUGUGAAAGAGAUGCCGGAACAUUCAGCAAACACCAGGGAAGCAGAGGACACAAGCUUGGAUGUGAAAUAGCAACACCUUCUGCACUGAAGAAUAAUAAAACAAUGUUUUUAAUUACAAAAGAAAAUGUGUAAGAAAAGUGUAAAAAUACGUGGGGCAAGUUUUGGGGGCCCUUUCUAAGCUAGAACACUUUAUACUGGUCUGUACAUGUGGAACUGAACAGAGAUUGUUCACUUCUAAAAUAUUCUAAGAAAUAAUCUCAAUUGUCAGUUUCCUCCUGCCCGAAUAAAAGCGGAGCUUUGUUACCCUCCUUUUCAGCUUGGGGAAGGAGGGAUGGGAAAAAGACAUUGCAUUGUUGAAUAGGCAGCCAUAUUUGUACUUUUUCUCCUGUGCAGAGGUAAGCGGGGUGUGCUGGGCUUUGUGGAACCUCACAAAAUGGCAGUCCCUGAACUGACUUUUCUCUAGAAACCAUUGAGACCCACACCCUCUUUUGUGUGUUCCUGGUUCUCAAAAACAGAGACCUAAUCAUUUCGAAGGCUUGGUUCUUUCAUUCAGUGUUAACAUUGGAGGGUCCUUUUCUCUGAACGGUUUACAGACCUCUCUAAGCAGACUCUAAGCAAUCCAGGGCUGAAAAGCAUCGUCUGGGUUUGCAAAGGAUUCUCUGAAGGUUUAUGCAAAUUUCUGCAGCAAAAAUGUUUGCUCGCUUUUUGCCGCACCCCUCGGAUGUUUACAGAUUUGAGCCAAUUAGAAGGGUAUCUUCUGUGCUCGGCUGCAUGAAAUACCAUGAUGGGGGGGAUUUCUAGCCACUGUAAGAAAGACAGUGGGGUGUGUGUGUGGGGGAGAGAGAGAGAGGAAGACAGAGAGAGACAGAUGUGUAAUUCCUCAAAACUCUUUAUUUGGAAGCAGAUCUAUGAUUUUCCCAGCUACAAAAAGAAACAUAUAUACCUACAUUUAUGACCAAUACUUUCUGCAAUAUGUAAUCCAUGUUUAUGUACAAAUACACCAAAUAUAUACCCCCAGAAUACCAAAUUUGUGUAUGUACAAAUACUCUCUAAUGCACCAAUUACUGCAACAGAGUUUUUUUCUGUACAAGAGCUACCAUUUUACUGUGGAUUUGGGGCCAAUGGGACAAGAAGGUACAACACUUCCAGAGCAACACAGAAUACGGAGGAAAUGAGGACAUUACUACUUCCCCUUCAUUCCUUCAUUUCCACAUCCAUUCACGUACCAGGUCUCCUACCUGAGUCUUGCCCCAAAUCAGUGACUCUAAAACUGGUAUUUGGGGAAUAUUCUUGAGCAGGAGACGGCGAAUUUUGCUAACAGAGGAAGUCCCCUAAAUGGAGGGCACCGGAGUUUAGCCAGCGAGAAGCUCUAGCCACUUGCCACCACCACGGCCGCUGCUACCACCACCCCCAC